UUGGUUAUGGCACCUCUAAUUCAGCAUCAAAUUACACACCAAGAAUAGUUGAGUACCUCAAAGGCAAGGUCUUCAAGGGUGUUGCAACUGCAAAAUAUUUCUAAAUUCACAAUUGUAUUGGGAGCUGACGGAGAGCUGAUUAUACCAGCACCUUCUAUAAUUGAUAAUUACAUUGAUCUCUACUUGCACUAUUUCUAAAUCCCAUGUACUUGAAUUCAAAAUUCACGAAUGAGAGUUGCGUUUUCACUUUUUUGUGGAAUGAGAGUAUAUUUUUUGCAAUAUAGGCCUAACCGCAGUAAAACUUGUAUGGCAGGUAUAUACUUGGGGUCAUCGACUUGUUUCACCUAGACGAGUUGUCAUUACCGGAAAUCUAAAGAAGAGUGGAAGCACCCCUAUGAAAUUUCAUCGAAAGGAGAGACUUCAUGUGGUUGCAAUAGCUGCCGGGAUG
rnacentral:lncRNA from 1 species